UGCUGAUGCAAUAUGAAACGAGAAUCAUGAAAUUCUGUUAUUUACAUCACGAUGAUGAUAUAAAGAAAGCAGUCAGUCGACUUCUGAAACUUAGUGGACUUUCUCAACAUGGCAGAAAUUAAGCAGACCAGUCUCUGAAUUUCGACCAUCGUAUAAUAUCCUCAUAUCGAUAAUUGGAUGCCAGUGACAUGUCUAAAUCUUAAUUAUUUUGAAAAGAAACUCUUACGUGACAAUCCAUGAAGUAUUUUCCGGUGACACCAAUGACCUCAUCCGAUACGGCGAGGUAGAUGCUGGUCUGAGCACCCUGUUCGGGGGUCUUGAAGAAUCCCUUGAUAAUGAGGUACAGUCCCCAGGACAACGGUACUGGAACGUUUCUCCAUAUCCCGCUGUCAAUCAUCCCGGGGUGAAGGCAGUUGGCCGUAACUCCGGAA
rnacentral:lncRNA from 1 species